AACGCACCUUGCGCCCUUUGGUAUUCCGAGGGGCAUGCCUGUUUGAGUGUCAUUAAAUUAUCAACCUUUACUAGCUUUUGCUUUGCUAAAGGAUUGGAAGUGGGGGUAUUCAUUUUGCAGGUUUUUGAUAAAGAAAUCUGCUCCCCUUAAAUGCAUUAGCGGUUUCCUUGUGGACUCGUCUAUUAGUGUAAUAAAAUAUAUCUACGCUGUUAGAUGUCUACGUCUUAAGGUUAUAUACUGCUUUAUAGUCGUCUUUUAAUAGGACAACAUUUUUUGACUCUUGACCUCAAAUCAGGUAGGACUACCCGCUGAACUUAA
rnacentral:misc_RNA from 1 species